rnacentral:rRNA from 1 species
GACGAACGCUGGCGGCGUGCCUAAUACAUGCAAGUCGAGCGCAGGAAACUGACGGAACUCUUCGGAGGGAAGGCAGUGGAAUGAGCGGCGGACGGGUGAGUAACACGUAAGGAACCUACCUCAAGGAUUGGGAUAACUCCGAGAAAUCGGAGCUAAUACCGGAUAGUUCAUCGGACCGCAUGGUCCGUUGAUGAAAGGCGCUUCGGCGUCACCUUGAGAUGGCCUUGCGAUGCAUUAGCUAGUUGGUGGGGUAACGGCCCACCAAGGCGACGAUGCAUAGCCGACCUGAGAGGGUGAUCGGCCACACUGGGACUGAGACACGGCCCAGACUCCUACGGGAGGCAGCAGUAGGGAAUCUUCCACAAUGGACGAAAGUCUGAUGGAGCAACGCCGCGUGAGUGAUGAAGGUUUUCGGAUCGUAAAACUCUGUUGUAAGGGAAGAACACGUACGAGAGGAAAUGCUCGUACCUUGACGGUACCUUACGAGAAAGCCACGGCUAACUACGUGCCAGCCGCCGCCGUAAGAC